ensembl:lncRNA
AUCCCAGUCUCCUGCUACUUUAAGAACUUGACAAAUUGAAAGAGCUCUUUUUCUUUUCUUUCCAGAAACUCGAAAAAGGAAAUAAGGAACAAUUCUAAAGUAUCCCUGUCUCAUGACCCUGUCAUAUUCUCGGGGAAAUGAACUUAUGGAAGGCUGCGGGACAUGCCAGCAGAAGAGGUGAAGGGUUCCUGACUCUUGAGAAGGAUCCCACCUCCCUCUUCUCCAUUAGAGGGAGAGCUCCCCACUAGCACCCUGAUCUUUCCUGGACCCUUCAAAGACAGCAGCCACAGGUUCCUGGACUGGAGAAGUCUGACGAGCAGUUCUUCCCAGGCCUUCCUGAGCUGGAGGCUGACAGACGUGGAGACAGAGCUGCGCCAGAAUCAUGUGGAGGUGAUGGGUUCACUUCUGGGCAGUCAGAUGAGCCAGACAUAGCCAGGCCUGGCUGCUGUGGAGGAUAAUGUUCCCUCUGGGGAAGAACACAAGACCCCCUCAGCCACUUUUUCUCCAGCUUCAGCAGGCUACUGCAUUCCUCCCAGGCCCUGUCCUAUUUACUCCAGGUAGGGUGAUGAUUUGAAAAGACCCUGAUGCUGGGAAAGAUUGAAGGCGAGAGGAGA